AAAAAAGUCAGCUGAGAAUAGCAUAAGGUACCCACUGCAUGUGGAAAAAGCAACUCCCCAUCUGAGAGUCACCCAGCACAUAAUCCAGUGGUGGUGACCAAAGGGAUGAUGUCCUGAAUGCUGUGACACCAAUAAAGCUGGAUGCAGGAGAUGAAUGCAUUCAACCACAAGCUGUGCUCCUUGCUACUGCUGUUGUUCUUGGCCUCCGGAAACACAGAAACUCAUUGUCUACUCUACUGAAUUAGGAUAGAAGAGGCACUCCUUUUACAGCUUUACAGAGGCAC
rnacentral:lncRNA from 1 species